rnacentral:rRNA from 1 species
AUUGAACGCUGGCGGCAUGCUUUACACAUGCAAGUCGAACGGUAACAGGUCUUUCGGGAUGCUGACGAGUGGCGAACGGGUGAGUAAUGUAUCGGAACGUGCCCAGUAGUGGGGGAUAACUACUCGAAAGAGUGGCUAAUACCGCAUGAGAUCUCUGGAUGAAAGCGGGGGACCGUAAGGCCUCGCGCUACUGGAGCGGCCGAUAUCAGAUUAGGUUGUUGGUGAGGUAAAGGCUCACCAAGCCGACGAUCUGUAGCUGGUCUGAGAGGACGACCAGCCACACUGGGACUGAGACACGGCCCAGACUCCUACGGGAGGCAGCAGUGGGGAAUUUUGGACAAUGGGCGCAAGCCUGAUCCAGCAAUGCCGCGUGCAGGACGAAGGCCUUCGGGUUGUAAACUGCUUUUGUACGGAACGAAAGACCUUCUUCUAAUACAGGGGGUCGAUGACGGUACCGUAAGAAUAAGCACCGGACUAACACGUGCCAGCAGCCGAC